CUACGGGGCGCUGCAGGGGCGAAUCAUUUGCAAUGCACGCAAGUGCGACAAUGCGAACCAAAGUGUCUUUUCGAUAAAGAAAAGACUUUUCUCCGCUCUAAAAAGGCGGGGGAAUAAGAACUGGGAAAGACCGGUGCCAGCCGCCGCGGUAAUACCGGCAGUUCAAGUCGCAUCCACGUUUAUUGGGUCUAAAACAUCCGUAGCUUGUAGUUUAAGUCCUUUGUGAAAUCCUAUGUCUCAAGCAUAGGGCGUGCGGAGGAUACUGGACUGCUAGGGAUCGGUAGACGUAAGGAGUACGUUUGAGGUAGUGGUUAAAUACGUUAAUCUUAAGCGGACUAACAAUUAGCGAAGGCACCUUACGAGGACGAAUCUGACAGUGAGGGAUGAAGGCCAGGGGCGCAAAACGGAUUAGAUACCCCGGUAGUC
rnacentral:rRNA from 1 species